AGUAGAAUGACUGAGAUUAAAGGUGAAAGAUUGUAAAUCUUUUUAGGGGUUAUAAAAGUAGAAUCCUUCUACUA
rnacentral:tRNA from 1 species